AUUUAAACCAAACAUUUCUAUCUCAAACCUCAACACCAAUUUCGCAAUUCAUAUCCCCGCUCAAUACUCCCUUCUUCUUCCCUCAUCUUUCCCUGUGUCUCGCCCAUCGCUGGUGGUUCUCGCCAGUCGUCUUCGCCGUCGCCGCUGGGUCUCGCCCGUCGCCGGUGGUACUCUACCAAGAGUCUAUUUCCUCGCCUCCUCACCGGUGGUUCCCUUCUCGGAAAACCACCGCAUAAGUUAUUCCCUGCUCGAAAACCACCGGUGAAGUCAUUCCCCACUCGAAAAACUAAGCUGCUUUGCUCGGUUGCUGGUUUUAAUCUCCGUCAUCCUCCUCGCCGCGGCCGACCGGUCAUCUUCCCUGUCCAAUCAGAUGCGUUGGAAGAAGACUUGAUCCAGUGACAGGGAAGAUUUACAACGUUAUAAAUUUUCCUCUUGAGCUAAGGAAAUAAAAUCAAGACUUGUCACUCGUGCUGAUGACACCGAGGAAAAAGUCUACACUCCGAGGAUUGCGCCUUAUGCGAGGAAUUUGAUGUGGUUCGUGAGCAAUGGGCUAAGUUUUUUACCAACAAGUAUUUAUUAUUGGCUUUAGCGCGCUUGAUCGAGUUGGUUUAGUUGUUAUAGAAUAAAUUUUAUAUUAAAAUGUAUGUUUAUGUUGAAAUUGGAACAUAUAUUUAAAUGUAAUAUGU